CAUUUCUCGGGUGCCGGUCCCCUUUCACGC
rnacentral:ribozyme from 1 species